rnacentral:rRNA from 1 species
GAUGAACGCUAGCGGCAGGCCUAACACAUGCAAGUCGAGGGGUAGAAGGAGCUUGCUCCUUUGAGACCGGCGCACGGGUGCGUAACGCGUAUGCAAUCUACCUUUUACAGAGGGAUAGCCCAGAGAAAUUUGGAUUAAUACCUCAUAGUAUAUAUAAUUCGCAUGUUUGGUAUAUUAAAGUUCCAACGGUAAAAGAUGAGCAUGCGUCCCAUUAGUUAGUUGGUAAGGUAACGGCUUACCAAGACGAUGAUGGGUAGGGGUCCUGAGAGGGAGAUCCCCCACACUGGUACUGAGACACGGACCAGACUCCUACGGGAGGCAGCAGUGAGGAAUAUUGGUAAAUGGACGCAAGUCUGAACCAGCCAUGCCGCGUGCAGGAAGACGGUCCUAUGGAUUGUAAACUGCUUUUGUACGGGAAGAAACACUCCUACGUGUAGGAGCCUGACGGUACCGUAAGAAUAAGGAUCGGCUAACUCCGUGCCAGCAGCCGCCGUAAUAC